rnacentral:rRNA from 1 species
UACGUAGGCAGCAAGCGUUGUUCGGAAUUACUGGGCGGAAAGAGUGUGUAGGCGGUGCUCUAAGUUUGGUGUGAAAUCUCCCGGCUCAACCGGGAGGCUGCAUCGAAUACUGGAAUGCUAGAGGGUGGGAGAGGUAAGCGGAAUUCCUGGUGUAGCGGUGAAAUGCGUAGAUAUCAGGAGGAACACCUGUGGUGUAGACAGCUUACUGGACCACUUCUGACGCUGAGACACGAAAGCGUGGGUAGCAAACAGG